rnacentral:lncRNA from 10 species
UCCAGGAUGGACAACCCAGCUGGCUCAUGCUCCGUUUUGAUGAGGUUCUGGGAAGCAAGCCAGCCAGUCAAUGAGGAUGCAUUGAGAAGAGAACGUGGAAACAGAAGAAGUCCUGAAGAAAACCACUAUUGAAAGAAGUUAAAGGAAAUCAGUCCACAAAAUGUUGUAAGAUGAAUAGCCAGAGAGGUUGAAGGAAACCAGGAGAGUGAAUGUAGUACAAUGGAAGGAAAGGAAGAGCCUAGCUCAACAAGGAAGAAGUUGUCAUCUGUGCACAUGCUUCUCAGAAGUAAGGUGAUGUGAACCUGCUGAAAUGCUGCAGGGAUUUCAGGCAAGUUAGCCUUGGCAGUGAGAACAGAUACAAAGAGAGAAGGAGAUAAGGAAGUUUCCUGAUGCCCACAAAGUUUAAAUAACGGACUCGAGGUUACCCAGCAAUAAAUGUUGAAAAAGAGUUUAAAUUAGUUGGCUUUCAGAGUUUGUGUUUUGGACAACUAUAUUCUACUUUGGACAGCACUGUAUUUUCUCAUUGUAAAAGCAGGCAGGAUGGAGUAAAAAAUAAAAGUCAAAACAAUUUGAAAACAAUAUUUUGUGAUGAACAUAAAACAUUUUCUACAAUCAGCAUCCUUCAUUUGAUUGUCUUACUUUAUUAUCUGGUAAGUGCCAAAAGAAGACAAAGUGUAGAUGUAUUUUCCUUAGUUUACUUUUAGCUCCCUUUAUUUCAAGCCUCACAGUCAAUGUGUUCCCUGCCUUAUGUUUCAAGGGGGCUCCAGGGUAUUUUUUCUCCCAUGUGAUUACAAAAGCAGUUAGCCGUUUAGCCUAGCAGGGGGAAUGAGAGGAAACGGAGAGGCCAAAAAUUUUAAACUUUAGGCACUAUAUCUCCAAUAACUGACAACAUUUUAUCUUAAUUAUGCUUUAUAGUAUUGGAAUACUAAACAAAGAGGAACGACCUGCUUACUCUGUAGUCUGGAGCAGAAUGAAAUAGAACACGUAGGGCAGAACACAACAAAUGAGUUGUAAAUGUCUGUGCACAAGGCUUGAUCUUGGGGAUGGAGGGAGGAUAUUUUUUAAGUUAUUCAAACGCUGAGUUGCUUUCAAAGAGUUCUUCUCAGACAUCAACAAUGAACUCUUCAGAUACCCUCAUCCCAGACAGCCCUGAAGUCCAGUUUAUAACAAGACCAAUAACUCACUCCUUAUCUCUAAAGCUACUUGUUCAAUUCUCUUGACUUCAGGGCCAAAAUGAGUUGUUUAUUACUUAUGGCAAGUAUAAAAAAGGCCAUCUCAACCUGUGGUCAGUUCCACGAAUGGCAACUUGUUUUCUGAUAACUUGCAUGCACAUGGACAAUAGCCAAAUUUCCAAAAAGAUUUAGGUACAUCAAUUGUAUACCGAUG